UUUUUCCUACGGGAGGCAGCAGUGAGGAAUAUUGGUCAAUGGGCGAGAGCCUGAACCAGCCAAGUCGCGUGAAGGAUGACGGCCCUACGGGUUGUAAACUUCUUUUGUCAGGGAGCAAUUGGGUCCACGCGUGGGCUUAGCGAGAGUACCUGAAGAAAAAGCAUCGGCUAACUACGUGCCAGCAGCCGCGGUAAUACGUAGGUGGCAAGCGUUAUCCGGAUUUAUUGGGCGUAAAGGGAACGCAGGCGGUCUUUUAAGUCUGAUGUGAAAGCCUUCGGCUUAACCGGAGUAGUGCAUUGGAAACU
rnacentral:rRNA from 1 species